CCGGUACGAGGGCUGCCGGCGCAGCUCCGGAGCGUCUAGAGCGCCGCGCGGGCAGGAUCUUGCUGGACCAGGAGCGGCAGCGCAUCCUCCUGCGACUCCGGGGCCAGACGCCCACUCCAGAUUUCUUUAAAGCCUCAUGGAACACAUCAUCAUCGCUGGAUGCCCGGACACUUAACGCACCUGACAGCAGGCGAAGUGCUCAGAAUGGGACAGGAUGUCACCUGGAAUCAGCACUAAGUGAUUCAGACUGUCCUUACUUUUAAAUGUGCUGUUCUUCAUUUCAAGAUGCCGUUGCAGCUCUGAUAAAUGCAAACUGACAACCUUCAAGGUCACAACGGAGGAAAAAAUCACUGGUGCUUGAAGCAUAGAAGACUGCCCUUCACAACGAAA
rnacentral:lncRNA from 1 species